rnacentral:lncRNA from 1 species
UUUCCCCAGCAGGUCUGAAGAUUGCCGUUUCCCCAGCGGAGGUGUGCGUUGGUAGCUAUUUCCCCAGCGAAGUCCCCAAGCGGAUCGGGUUUAGUGGAGGUCAUCCUUAGUAAGGGUUGUCCUUUCCCCAACAGCGGUGUUAUCCCAAGCAGGGUUGGAGAUUGGAGCGAUAUCGAGUUCCUCAGCAGAGUUGCUCGUGUCGUCCCCUGAGGGGGAUGCUUUUUAUACAUUCAUCAUUUAGAAGAGCAUAGCAUAUUGCAUAAUAAAUUG